rnacentral:lncRNA from 1 species
GCAUCUCCAUCUCUCUCUCCCUCACCACUUCUUCUCCCACCUUCGACCGCCGUCGCGGCCAGGCCAUCGUGGCGGCGCGCCCCCGGACUUUGCUGCUCCACCAGCACCACAUCAUCCAGCCACCACUCCGUCUUCGCCGCCAUCACCUUGGGCGCUCCACUUCGUCGCCGCGCCUGGCGCGCCCGACCAGACGGGUGUCUAGUUCCCCGCGCCACCUGCUGCUGCUCUCUCCCUCUCCGCUGCUCCUCCCCUCGUCUCCACUUCCUCUGUUUCUCUUCUUCUUCUUCUCCUAACCCUGCUAUUGCUCUUCUUCUUCUCUCAACGUUCCUGCUACUCCUUCUCCUUGCAUCCCCUUGCUGUAGUUGCCUCAACCUGCUGCUUCUUCUCCAAUCCCCACGCUGCUCCUAUUCCCUUUCCUUGCUGGUGUUCCUUUACUGAAGGAAACAACCUGCUGUUGUUCUUUACUUGUUGCUGACCCUGUUCUUCUCUGAACCCAAACUGCUGCUGCUUCUCUUCUCUUUUUACUUCUUGCAAAAUUCUGUAAACUGCUAGGUGAACUUGUGUACUGUUCUGAAUACUUAAUUUUCUGUAAGUUGAGGUGUGUGAAAUCUCUGUAAUUUUGACAAGUUUAUUGUUCAGUACUUUGUAAUAUUCAGCAUUGAGAUGUUUUAGUAGAUGCAAUAUUCAGAUUUGGGAAAAACUUGCAACCUGACAAUUGUUCAGUUUCGUACUUGUAAAAUAUAGUGCACUUUAUUAUGUGCUCUGACUAGUUAAUGUCUAGUUGUUUGGAUAAUAUUUAGUAUAUGUGAUAUGCUCUGUGAUAUAGUAAUAUUCUAGUAUAUGUCUGUGAUCCCCUAUGUGUAUGUUUCUUGACAUCUACUGUAAUUUGUCAUGUACUAGUAACUUUGCUAUAGUCUAAUUGAUGUUCAGUUGUUAGUCUCUGUGCAAGCUAUGUACCAGUGGCAUUUAUGCUUGUGAUUUUCCAGUGAACUUGUUUAAUUUCAGUUCAUAUGUUAGCACAAGUACCUUUGCUAUAUAAAUGUAUAUGUGUGUGCUUGUGAUUUAAACAAUCUGUUUUCUGUUCAGUAAUUUUGUUUCUUCCCUUCUUCCCUUUUUUAUACACUUGCUAGAUAUAUAUAUAUGUCCAUGUCUUUUGACUUCCCUUGUCACUGAUGCUAGUAUUGUAGUUCUCUAGUAGUUUGAAAAUACCAAUUAGAGAGUGAGUGUCAACCUUAAUUUCCCUGUGUUGUUUGUCAUCGUCCUUGAUUAUUUUAGGUUUAUAUUUUCUUGCGAUCAUCACCCUUAUUGUGUUAUCUAGCUUUCGCCAAGCAUAGUUGCCGUUUCCUAGUCCCUGAGGAGAACACGACAUCCGUAGUUUGGGCAUAAAAACCCUCCUAUAUUAGAAACGGUCAUUUUGGCGCCGUUGCCGGGGACUAGCGUCGAGCGAUUAUUUUAGGCUAUAGACUAGGUUUACUUUAGUUCCUUGUUCAAUUCGCCGUGUAUUUCAUCUUCAGUGUUUUUCUUCUAUCUUCCCCCAUUGUUGCUUCGGCUUAUUAGGAUACUAACCUUCUGACUAGUGUUUACUAUUUAUGAAUGUGUGUAGGGAAUCAUAAAUCUUUGCAGGUUGUUCUAUAGUUACACUUGGUUAAGAUAUGGCAUUGCUUCGUGAUCUUUGGAUGCCAAGUAGUCAAUGCUAUAUCACAGGACCGGUUUGGUCAACUAUUGGGGUAGAGAAUUUUGAGAUGAAGCCUGGUCUUAUUGCUUUGGUUCAACAACAAUAGUUUGGAGGACUGCCUACUGAGGAUCCCUAUGAGCACUUACACCGAGUCAUGGAGUAUUUAGAUACAGUCAAGUACCAUGGAGUUCCUCAAGAUGCAAUCAUGUGCAGGUUGUUCACAUUAUCCCUCCGCGAUGAUGCUCGUGCUUGGUAUCGAUCCUUGCCAUCAAGGUCAUACAGUUGGAAUGAGAUAUCGCGAGCUUUCUUGGAUAAAUAUUCCCCACUACACAAGCAGUCCGCAAUUCAAGAUGAGAUCUUCAAUUUUGUUCAGCGUGAAGGCGAGAGCUUGUAUGAUGCUUGGGAGACAUACAAAGCCUUAUUCAGGAGAUGUCCUAAUCAUGGGCUCGAGAGAUGGUUAGAGAUGCAAAUAUUCUAUAGAGGAUUGACUUCGGACACUCGAGCUUACGUCGAUAUGGCAGCAGGUGGAGCUAUUACAAACAAGACACUUGAUGAAGCUUUUCUGCUGAUUGAGAGCAUAGCUUUCCACCAACUUCAGUGGUACAAUAAGAAGCCCAUGUCUAAUUCAUUGGUUUGCUCGCAACAAAUCACUACACCUCAACCACCAAUUCUUACACAAAAGCCCGAGCCUCUAUCUCAGUGUGACAAGGUUGAGCUUGCAUGGAUUAUAUUUGACGAUGAUGACACCAUUCUAGUUGACACACACGCUACAGAUCAUCUGGAUACUAGUGUUGGAGAUUCAGUUUUGCAUUGUGAUGAUUCUUCCAUGGAUGAGCUAGAGCUGCAGUUCGUUACUUUUGAUAUUGAGGAGUCACCUUUAGUUGAUAUUGAUCAUGUGCUGCUAGAGCCAGAUAUGGAGAAGUUCGCCUUUGAUGAUGUUAGCCGCAUUGAUUCUUCAACACUUGAGCCUGAGAUGGAGUGCUUCAUGGUUGAUUAUGGUGAGGUGGAUUCAGAUGUCAAGGAGUCAAGCUCUAUUUCACUUGUUGACAUGAAUCCGGUGGAAAUUUCUACUACCACACCUCACCUGGUAUCUUCAAUGGAGGUAGUCCUGAAGCUUCUUCCUAACUAUCUCAGGUAUGAUCUCAGCUUUCUCGACAAGAUAUGCCAUAUCAUGGAUACUGCCUACGGACCAUGUGACUUGUUGUUGAUACAUGUUCCUGACUUGCUCAAUAGAUAUACUUAUAUGAUAGGGUACUCUAUCGAUGACUUAGAGGGCAUUCUCUCUGUCACUUGUAUUAUCUUGGUUGUUGAGUGUUCUUUCAGGUUGAUGCUUGUGUACCAUUUACUGCGAGUUGACCGAGUUCGAGAUGACAUUCCCUGGGAUCCUGGUGGACUCAGAGCAUGGGGAUGAGGAGAAGCAAGGGGGCACACACGAGGAAGGGAGAAGCUGGAGCAGGCAUGAGGAUAGAGAAGCAAAAGGAGAGGAGCUGCAGUUGGUGAGGUGAUCGAGCGAGUGCUACAUCAUCAAAGCCCGGUGAGCUAUUUCAUGACCCAUUCCGAGUAUAUCAUCCAUUGAUACAUGCUGAAAUCAAAUGUUAUUUGGGUUGCUUAAGCCAUUUCUUAAAUGCCGUCCCACUGAAUUUUACCUUUGACAUAUGAUGCUUGAUGUGAAUAUGUGAACUGAAUCGUGAAUGCCUUGUAAACUAGUGAUCUACAUACUGCUUGUUUUGCUGAAACUAGUGAAAGUUAUUAGUUUUGAGUGCUCAAAUCCCUAGUACACUAGAAAACUUAAUCAUUUUCUGCUUUUACCUCGAUACACCUAGAUCACCAUGUUUAGAUGCUGAAUUUGUGCCAAGUGUCUUCCCAUUGAGAGCAAUCACCUAACCACUAUGGAUUAGCAUGCAAUGUUCCCUGGAUCGGUAGCAUGUGAACCAAACAUGGAGAAGUGAUGAUUCUUGUUUUUGUUCUUAUGCAUUGUUCAUUUAAGAUAAGUAAUAAUGAAUAAAUUAGUCUGCCUACCUACAGUAGCAUGUCAUGUUCCCGGGAUCGGUGGCAUGUGAAAUCGGGUUAGCUUGGGCAGUAAUUAACAAUAAUAGAAAUGUAAUUGUCGAACCAGGUGUAUACCAUGUUCUCGGGAUCGGUGGUAUGUUCCUUUGGGGAGACAAACUAAAAAAACUAAUAAUUGGUCGAGCCAGGUGUAUACCAUGUUCUCGGGAUCGGUGGUAUGUUCCUUUGGUGAGAUUGAUAAAAUAUUAUCAUUACUUCCUUCAAAUUUAAUAAGUGGUUCAACCACAAUGUUAUAUUUUUGCAAAUAAGUGAUUUAAUUCAAGCUCCUUUUGUUCUCAGGAUCAUGCUCUCUUUAGGAACCUUUUGGCACAGUCAGCAUUUGAACUUGCUAAUCUUCGUUUAUCAUUGCAAAAGUUUAAAAUGGUCGAGUUUACUAGUGUCCUAUUGAUAUGUAGCACUCUUAACCAUUAAUUUUCACUAUCCAAGUCCAAAGCAUGCACUGUUUAGAGAUCUACUUCACUUGACAUUCUCUAGUCAGUUCACUGUUCAUGUUCUUACUUUUGUCAUAUGCCUUUGCUUGAGGACAAGCAAAGAUUUAAGUGUGGGGGAACUUGAUAAGCACAUUUCAUAUAUAUAAUUUUGACACACAAAUUCACCAUUUCUUGAGAUGUGUCCAUCUAUUCUUGCUAAGAAUUAUCGAAUAUUCCAUGAAAAUCAUAUAAUGAAUCAUUUACUAGUCAUUGUGUUUAUUUUGCAGAAAAGUGCGCAAAGGCACUAUAAGCUCUAAGAUCUGGACUAGGUGGCUAAGAGAACCAGUCAAGUGAAAAGAAAGAAGAAGGACGGAGGGACUUGUGUGUGAUGAUAAGAAGUAACCAGAGGGGUUAGCCAAAGAAGAGAGGGACCAAUUUGAGAAGAAAGAAGAGAAGUAGGAGGGCAAAAUUGCAAAGUGGUAGAUAAGAUCAUGGGGGAUCAAAAUCCCUAGUGCAGCCACCAAUCCCCUUCGGAGCCUGGCAUCUCCAUCUCUCUCCCCCUCACCACUUCUUCUCCCACCUUCGGCCGCCGUCGCGGCCAGGCCAUCGUGGCGGCGCGCCUCCGGACUUCGCUGCUCCACCAGCACCUUCACCCACCAGCACCACAUCAUCCAGCCACCACUCCAUCUUCGUCACCAUCACCUUGGGCGCUCCACUUCGUCGCCGCGCCUGGCGCGCCCGACCAGACGGGUCUCUAGUUCCCCGCGCCACCUGCUGCUGCUCUCUCCCUCUCCGCGGCUCCUCCCCUCAUCUCCACUUCCUCUGUUUCUCUUCUUCUUCUCCUAACCCUGCUAUUGCUCUUCUUCUUCUCUCAACGUUCCUGCUGCUCCUUCUCCUUGCAUCCCCUUGCUGUAGUUGCCUCAACCUGCUGCUUCUUCUCCAAUCCCCACGCUGCUCCUAUUCCCUUUCCUGGCUGGUGUUCCUUUACUGAAGAAAACAACCUGCUGUUGUUCUUUACUUGUUGCUGACCCUGUUCUUCUCUGAACCCAAACUGCUGCUGCUUCUCUUCUCUUUUUACUUCUUGCAAAAUUCUAUAAACUGCUAGGUGAACUUGUGUACUGUUCUGAAUACUUAAUUUUCUGUAAGUUGAGGUGUGUGAAAUCUCUGUAAUUUUGACAAGUUUAUUGUUCUGUACUUUGUAAUAUUCAACAUUGAGAUGUUUUAGUAGAUGCAAUAUUCAGAUUUGGGAAAAACUUGCAACCUGACAAUUGUUCAGUUUCGUACUUGUAAAAUAUAGUGCACUUUAUUAUGUGCGCUGACUAGUUAAUGUCUAGUUGUUUGGAUAAUAUUUAGUAUAU